rnacentral:rRNA from 1 species
UACGUAGGUGGCGAGCGUUGUCCGGAAUUACUGGGCGUAAAGGGCGCGUAGGCGGAUAUUUAAGUCAGAUGUGAAAACUCCGGGCUCAACUUGGAUAUUGCAUUUGAAACUGGGUAUCUUGAGGACAGGAGAGGAAAGCGGAAUUCCUAGUGUAGCGGUGAAAUGCGUAGAUAUUAGGAGGAACACCAGUGGCGAAGGCGGCUUUCUGGACUGUAACUGACGCUGAGGCGCGAAAGCGUGGGGAGCAAACGGGAUUAGAUACCCGCGUAGUCCCUGA